CAGCAGUCGCCGCGGGAAUACGGAGGGUGCAAGCGUUAAUCGGAAUUACUGGGCGUAAAGCGCACGCAGGCGGUCUGACAAGUCAGAUGUGAAAUCCCCGGGCUUAACCUGGGAACUGCAUUUGAAACUGUCAGGCUGGAGUCUUGUAGAGGGGGGUGGAAUUCCAGGUGUAGCGGUGAAAUGCGUAGAGAUCUGGAGGAAUACCGGUGGCGAAGGCGGCCCCCUGGACAAAGACUGACGCUCAGGUGCGAAAGCGUGGGGAGCAAACAGGAUUAGAUACUCGCGUAGUCCCUGUCUCUUAUAC
rnacentral:rRNA from 1 species